rnacentral:lncRNA from 1 species
AAGCUCUUCCCAUAGAUAUUAAUAUUCUAAUCAUAACUUUAAUUCAAAAAUAUGAUUCUAUCAAAAGAAAAUUUUGACAGUUUUAUUCAGGUUACUAGAAUUGGUUAUUUAAAAAAAAAAGAAAAAAGAAGAAUCCUGCUGCUUUCAGUAUUUCCUGAUUUCAUAUUUGUAAAUAUUAAGAGGAACUUCAAUUAUGAAAUAUUUUAAAAAGUGAUAUUGGUUCGUGGCCUAGUGCCUUGGGUUUUACAGACUUUUCCUUUUAAAUGCAAGACCUUUUCAACAAAAUAGUGUUUGUCAUCAGUUUGGUACUAAACAUUUAUAAUUACUGUGUAAUUAUAAACAAAACAAUACAUAAAGCUUUGAAUAUAAUUAUGUAGCAUAAAAGUUAA